rnacentral:lncRNA from 1 species
UUUACCAUCUAUCUGCAUGGCAAGUACCAUUCCUCUAGAAAACUUUUAUGAAGGCUGAAAACAUCACAACUGCUCCUCUUUAUUUUUAGUCUCCACAGAUGGAGACGUUUCUGAGUAGGGAUAAGUGAGGUUCAUGAGGCAUUAAGUGGCAAUCAUUUCCAUGCUUGUGUACAUUUGGCGCCAUUCAUAUAAUGAUCUUUAGAAAAGAAUAACAAUAAGCUGAUACUGUUUUUAUGCCAAAUGUGAUUUCCUACAUUUGCUGAUAUUUUUAUAAGAAAAAAUUAAAAAAUAUAAAUUCUUCUUGCUUUCUAAUGGAAAGACAACUCGAACAUUAUGUUUUAAAAGUGUCUCUGUAUAUCCUUGUAUGUGUUUGACAUGCUUCAUAUAUCAAGCUCGUCCAGGCACAAGAUGUUUCACAACUAUGCCUUAUUUUUGCUGUGUUACAUACUUUGGCAACUAAAAUUGCACUUCAAAAAAUGGUCAACUUUAACUGCAGUGUCCAUGACCUGGGAAAAUAAUCAGCACUAAAAAAAAUUAAAUAACCUGAUAUAGGUGAAGUGAGAUGAGUAAUGAGUUGAAACAAAAUCCAAGGUAAGCAUGUCGAAGUCAAGUUUAUAACCAAAACCACUAACUAGUUAGACAUUACAAACUUCUGAAGUGCAAAAACUCACCUAGG